AAAUUAUUUUUUGUUUUUGUAUGUAAGGUUUCGCAUUGGAAAUGCACCACCAGCAAAAGUGACUGCGCCAGGACAUCUUUCUGCAAUAGAAAUCUCUAUAAAAGAGUUUGCAGAGACACCAAAAGAAAUUGUUAUUAAUCCAUAGAUUGGCACAGUCUUUGAUUCUAUAAAGGAAGCAUAUGAUUUCUAUAACUUGUAUUCUUGGGAAGUGGGGUUUGGAAUUCGCUAUGGUAAAAGCAGAUUGAAUAUUGAGCGGGAGAAGUGCAUGCAGGAAAUGAUAUGUGGCUGUGCGGGCAAACCAGUUAAGACGACCAGCCGCUCCUUUAGAUGUGAGUGCCCUGCUAUGUUAAGGAUUUUGCGGAGCAAUGACAAUGGAUGGUAUGCUGCUGAACAUAGAGUUGAUCAUAACCAUGUAUUGUCGAAGACAUGUGGUGAAAAAUUGCAUGGCAGUCCCAUCGUCACAUGGAUAAAUACACAAAGGAUCUUGUUAAACAGCUACGAGAUAAUAAUGUCAAUGUUAGUAAAGUGUAUAGUAUAGUGAGCAGUUUCUUUGGAAGUGUUGAUAGAGUGCCUUUCACUAAAAGGUCCCUGAAGACAUUGUGUGGCAAGCUUAGCAGGGAGCAGUCCGAUGAUGACAUCAAGAAAACAGUGGAGGUUUUCAAAGAAAUACAAGCUAAUGUUCCAGGAUUUACAUAUGCAGUUCAGGUUGAUACUGACAGCAGGGUGAAAUCACUCAUGUGGACAAAUGGAAGAAGUAUAGAGCAAUAUCAGUACUUUGGAGAUGCACUGACUUUUGAUACAACUUACAGAACAAAUUUGUAUGACAUGCCAUUUGGUAUUUUUGUUGGUGUGAACAACCACUUCCAGAGCAUAAUAAUACUAGGUGGGUGUUUUUAUGAGGGAUGAGACAGCAGAUAGCUUCAAGUGGGUGUUUGGAGAAUUUGUUAGGAUGAUGGGUGGAAAACCACCUAAGACAAUACUAACAGAUCAAGCACGUGCAAUGGAAAUUGCGCUAGCUGAAGUGCUGCCAGGUACAACUCAUCGGUGGUGUAAGUGGCAUGUCCUAAAAAAAGCCAAGGAAGGACUUGGUCGUUUGUAUGGUAAAAAGAAUGAUUUCAGGGACAGAGAUUUGGUGCACAUGAGCACUAGUGAUCUCACUUCGAAAAAUAAAUUAAAAAUCAUAUUUCUAAGCUUCGAAAAAUCUGAAAAUAAAUCAUGAUAUAGCCGGUAUUG